AACAGACGGAAACGACUGCUAAUACCGAAUAAGUUCCAAGAGCCGCAUGGCCCAUGGAAGAAAAAGGUGGCCUCUACCUGUAAGCUAUCGCCUGAAGAGGGGUUUGCGUCUGAUUAGCUGGUUGGAGGGGUAACGGCCCACCAAGGCGACGAUCAGUAGCCGGUCUGAGAGGAUGAACGGCCACACUGGAACUGAGACACGGUCCAAACUCCUACGGGAGGCAGCAUG
rnacentral:rRNA from 1 species